rnacentral:rRNA from 1 species
GGAUAACGUUCGGAAACGGACGCUAAUACCGCAUACGUCCUACGGGAGAAAGCAGGGGAUCUUCGGACCUUGCGCUAUCAGAUGAGCCCAGGUCGGAUUAGCUUGUUGGUGAGGUAACGGCUCACCAAGGCUGCGAUCCGUAACUGGUCUGAGAGGAUGAUCAGUCACACUGGAACUGAGACACGGUCCAGACUCUACGGGAGGCAGCAGUGGGGAAUAUUGGACAAUGGGGGAAACCCUGAUCCAGCCAUGCCGCGUGUGUGAAGAAGGUCUUCGGAUUGUAAAGCACUUUAAGUUGGGAGGAAGGGCUGAUGCUUAAUACGUAUCAGUCUUGACGUUACCGACAGAAUAAGCACCGGCUAACUCUGUGCCAGCAGCCGCGGUAAUACAGAGGGUGCAAGCGUUAAUCGGAAUUACUGGGCGUAAAGCGCGCGUAGGUGGCUAAGUAAGAUGGGUGUGAAAUCCCCGGGCUCAACCUGGGAACUGCAUCCAUAACUGCUGAGCUAGAGUACGGUAGAGGGUAGUGGAAUUUCCUGUGUAGCGGUGAAAUGCGUAGAUAUAGGAAGGAACACCAGUGGCGAAGGCGACUACCUGGACUGAUAU